GUGGGAGCAUUAGGACAAGAAUAAGAAAAGACGAGAUCGAUAUGUAAGGGUGAAAAUGGGCAGAGUCCCCACCAAAACCCAUCUGCAAUCCCUAAAUUCAGACAUAUUUUUUGUUCCCUUGUGCUUUUUAUUUAAACUUCACUGACCCAUAUCACUUCUCUCUCUCUCCUCUCCCAAUCCAAUCUCUUGGGAAAAUAUUAGAACAAAAACAUUGACGCAACGUCUCGGGCUCUCCAUUUGUCUGAUUGUGCAAUAGCUAAUUUAUUUCCUUUCUCUUUUCCUUUUAGUUUUCAAGGUUUCUUCGCUGACCAAAUCAUCCAUUCUCAUCUAACUCGUCGGAAAGUGUCUACUUUGAUUAGUGGUUUCAAAAUUCUAUAGCUCAAUGAAUGAUGUAGUAAAAGUAGUGAUUCACUGUUCUACCGAGUUCCUUAGAACAACCACUGUUUCAUAUCUUUUCAUGCGCUAAAUAUAAUCAGAAUUUGGCAACAAGAUGCAGUUUACUUAUAAAUUCUAAUCCCAUAUAUAUUAAUCAUGGAGCAUUACGAGGAUGGAGAACAUGUUUUCGUAGCCGCGUAUCAUCAUGACGAUGAUUUUUAAAAUUGUUAGAAAAAUAAGUUGGUCCACAUAAACAUAUACUAUGCAUUUUAUUGAACUAACUAUAAAUUAAUUAAUAGUGUACAAAAAAUAUUUUUUAUUUUCUUAAAUAAAAGCUACAGAAUUACCUAAUAUGAUUAACAUAUAUAUUUGAUAACAAUUAAUGAUUAUGAAUAAUACAUAUUUGAUAAAACAAAUUAUAUCCUCUCUUUUUUUUUUAUUAUUAAAAGAAAUUAAACAAUCAUAUAAAGCAUAUAAUUAAAAAAAUUGAAUUUUUCUUAUA
rnacentral:lncRNA from 1 species